GACGAACCGUACGAACGUUAUUCGGAAUUACUGGGCUUAAAGGGUGCGUAGGCUGGCGCAGUAAGUUGGGUGUGAAAUCCCUCGGCUUAACCGAGGAACUGCGCCCAAAACUACUGUGCUCGAGGGAGACAGAGGUGAGCGGAACUUAGGGUGGAGCGGUGAAAUGCGUUGAUAUCCUAAGGAACACCUGUGGCGAAAGCGGCUCACUGGGUCUCUUCUGACGCUGAGGCACGAAAGCUAGGGUAGCGAACGGG
rnacentral:rRNA from 1 species